AGACGGAGGGUGCAAGCGUUAAUCGGAAUUACUGGGCGUAAAGCGCGCGUAGGCGGCUAGGUACGUCGGGUGUGAAAUCCCGGGGCUCAACCCCGGAACUGCACUCAAAACUGCCUGGCUAGAGUCUCGGAGAGGUAGGCGGAAUUCCCGGUGUAGAGGUGAAAUUCGUAGAUAUCGGGAGGAACACCAGUGGCGAAGGCGGCCUACUGGACGAUGACUGACGCUGAGGUGCGAAAGCGUGGGGAGCAAACAGGAUUAGAAACCCCAGUAGUCC
rnacentral:rRNA from 1 species